rnacentral:rRNA from 1 species
CCUACGGGUGGCAGCAGUGGGGAAUAUUGCACAAUGGCGGAAACCCUGAUGCAGCGACGCCGCGUGAGUGAAGACGUAACUCGUUAUUUAAAGCUCUAUCAGCAGGGAAGAAAAUGACGGUACCUGAGUAAGCACCCCCGGCUAACUACGUGCCAGCAGCCGCGGGAAAACGUAGGGAGCAAGCGUUAUCCGGAUUUACUGGGUGUAAAGGGAGCGUAGACGGCAGUGCAAGUCUGGAGUGAAAGGCGGGAGCUCAAACCCCGGACUGCGGUGGAAACUGUACGGCUGGAGUGCAGGAGAGGUAAGUGGAAUGCGUGGUGUAGCGGUGAAAUGCGUAGAUAUUAGGCAGAACACCAGUGGCGAAGGCAGCUUACUGGAGUCUAACUGACGUUGAGGCUCGAAAGCGUGGGGAGCGAACAGGAUUAGAUACCCCUGUAGUC